UGCAUGGUGGCGCAGUUGGUAGCGCUGUUGGCUUGCAGCCAGAAGGUCCACAGUUUGACUCCUGGUCGGGUGUCUUUCUGCAU